rnacentral:rRNA from 1 species
GACAGAGGGGGCAAGCGUUGCUCGGAAUUACUGGGCGUAAAGGGCGCGUAGGCGGGAUGGCAAGUCGGUCGUGAAAUCCCUCGGCUCAACUGAGGAUCGUCGAUCGAUACUGCCGUUCUUGAGGAUUGCAGAGGAGACUGGAAUUCCCGGUGUAGCGGUGAAAUGUGUAGAGAUCGGGAGGAACACCGGUGGCGAAGGCGGGUCUCUGGGCAAUUCCUGACGCUGAGGCGCGAAAGCGUGGGGAGCAAACAGG